AGAGGUGGCAAGCGUUGUUCGGAAUUACUGGGCGUAAAGGGCGCGUAGGCGGCCCGUCAAGUCCCGUGUGAAAGCCCCCGGCUCAACCGGGGAACGGCGCGGGAAACUAGCAUGCUUGAGUUCGGGAGAGGGAAGCGGAAUUUCGGGUGUAGCGGUGAAAUGCGCAGAUAUCCGAAGGAACACCGUGGCGAAGGCGGCUUCCUGGACCGACACUGACGCUGAGGCGCGAAAGCUAGGGGAGCAAACGGGAUUAGAUACCCCGGUAGUCCUAGCCCUAAACGAUGAGAACUGGGUGUAGAGGGUAUGAACCCCUUCUGUGCCGAAGCUAACGCAUUAAGUUCUCCGCCUGGGGAGUACGGUCGCAAGGCUG
rnacentral:rRNA from 1 species